GCGGUUAAGAAUGGAUGGAGGGAAUUUAACAUGAUGCAAAAAGUACGUAAGAACAAUAAAAUGCAGGCCCCUUUGCUCACAGUAUAUUGCAGGCAUUGGGCAUAAUCCUUGCGUCACCAAAACAUCAGUAAACAAUCAAACCGGCACAUUUGAGUCAUUCACAUUGUGUCGUCGAGUCGAACAAAGCAUUUUCAACACUUUAUAUUGGUCAGGAAUUUGUGAAAAUAACACACGCACACUCUCUCCAAACUCACUCGUCAUCUUGGGAUCAACCGGACUUGCACACUGAUUGCGCCGCAGUUUUGGUGGCCCGUGCCUAGGAAGGAUUUCACAGACUUCAUUGGGGCCUGCUCAGCCUGCGCUUGUGGCAAGACAUCUCGUCAGCCUCCUGCAGGUCUGCUUCGACCACUCCCGGUACCGUCUUACACAUGGUCUCACAUAUCACUCUGUUUGAUAACUGCUCUGUCCACGUCUCAUGGAAAGUCUGUCAUUGUCACUGUGGUGGAUCGAUGCGCACUGCAUUCCACCAACCAAGCUCCUGUCAUCGUUGGAGACCGCCCAACUAUUGAUCAAGCAUGUCUUCCUCAUCCAUGGAAUCCCGGUCGAUUCCGUCUCCGACUGGGGUCAAGAGUUCGGCUCACAAAUCUGGAGAAAAUUUUGUAGAGCCAUGGGAGCAACUACCAUCCGCCAAUCAAUGGAGGGACAGAUAGGGCUAAUCAGGACCUGGAGGCUGGCCUUCGCUGUGUCUACAUGGAGCAACCGACGUUGUGGGCUGCCCAUCUGCCAUGGCUCCAGUUGGAGCGGAGGACGUUGCCAUCAGCGAUGCAGCUUUCUUGCAUUUUGUAACCAGCCUCCUGGACUAAUCAAGGACUGCUUUGCGCUCAUGCUGCUGUCAGAUUAUUCGCCUUGCUCUUGUUCUACGUACCAAGUGCAAUUUUCUCGCCAAUCUUGUUUUCCGUUCUUGCCCCAGUCUUUGUUAGUUAUUGUUAUUGUACUAUUUACUUUCUUUUUUCGAGCACGGUCUGUUUUGUGUUUCAUUCGUUAUUGGAUUUACAUGUCCUUUUGACAAGCAAUUUACAUAGUUCGUUUUUACCCCUUGCCUUGUGCAUGCGCAUUUUGUUAUCCAGGGGUUUUCUGGUCCUGCUGGGCAGCGAUCACAUUUGUACUUUGUCAGUCUUGUGACCUUUGUUGUAAAUAAACCUUUUUUUGUCAA